UACGGAGGGGGCGAGCGUUAUUCGGAAUUAUUGGGCGUAAAGGGCGCGUAGGCGGCCUGAUAAGUCAAAGGUGAAAUCCCUCGGCUCAACUGAGGAACUGCCUUUGAAACUGUUAGGCUUGAGGCCGGGAGGGGGUAGCGGAAUUCCCAGUGUAGCGGUGAAAUGCGUAGAUAUUGGGAGGAACACCGGUGGCGAAGGCGGCUACCUGGACCGGUUCUGACGCUGAUGCGCGAAAGCGUGGGUAGCAAACAGG
rnacentral:rRNA from 1 species